UACAGAGGUCCCGAGCGUUGUUCGGAUUCAUUGGGCGUAAAGGGCGCGUAGGUGGUUCGGUAAGUCGGAUGUGAAAUCCCAAAGCUUAACUUUGGAAUUGCAUCGGAAACUGCCGGGCUAGAGUCUAGGAGGGGGGAGUGGAAUUCUUGGUGUAGCAGUGAAAUGCGUAGAUAUCGAGAGGAACACCAGUGGCGAAGGCGAGUCCCUGGACAGGUCCUGACGCUGAGGCACGAAAGCUAGGGGAGCAAACAGG
rnacentral:rRNA from 1 species